rnacentral:rRNA from 1 species
UUUGGUGGCGAUAGCGAAGAGGUCACACCCGUUCCCAUGCCGAACACGGAAGUUAAGCUCUUCAGCGCCGAUGGUAGUUGGGGGCUU